rnacentral:tRNA from 1 species
GGGGAUUUAGCUCAGCGGUAGAGCACUUGCCUAGGAAGCAAGCCCCUGUCCUGGGUUCGGUCCCCAGCUCCG